rnacentral:lncRNA from 1 species
GUCCAGGAGGCCUGGGCUGAGGACGUGGACCUCCGGGUGAACUUUGCCAUGAAUGUUGGCAAGGCCCGAGGCUUCUUCAAGAAGGGAGGUGGCACUGGUAGGUUGGGACACCAGGGAAGAAGAUCAACGCCUCACUGAAACAUGGCUGUGUUUGCAGCCUGCUCUAGUGGGACAGCCCAGAGCCUGGCUGCCCAUCAUGUGGCCCCACCCAAUCAAGGGAAGAAGGAGGAAUGCUGGACUGGAGGCCCCUGGAGCCAGAUGGCAAGAGGGUGACAGCUUCCUUUCCUGUGUGUACUCUGUCCAGUUCCUUUAGAAAAAAUGGAUGCCCAGAGGACUCCCAACCCUGGCUUGGGGUCAAGAAACAGCCAGCAAGAGUUAGGGGCCUUAGGGCACUGGGCUGUUGUUCCAUUGAAGCCGACUCUGGCCCUGGCCCUUACUUGCUUCUCUAGCUCUCUAGGCCUCUCCAGUUUGCACCUGUCCCCACCCUCCACUCAGCUGUCCUGCAGCAAACACUCCACCCUCCACCUUCCAUUUUCCCCCACUACUGCAGCACCUCCAGGCCUGUUGCUAUAGAGCCUACCUGUAUGUCAAUAAACAACAGCUGAAGC